rnacentral:lncRNA from 1 species
AUAGAGAACUAGAUGAUAGACCACCGUAUGCGAUGGACAUUAAUUCUAUCAUGUUGAAAUUUAAAAAGAAACUGGAGAAACUCUCGGGACACAAAAUCACCUUCCAAAGAAGAAAUACGUUGUUCAAUUGUAUCAGAAACGACAAAGAUAAGAUUAACCAAGCCUGUCUCCCUGGAGUAUACAAGAUACCUUUCCUUGAUAAUGACACCAAUACUAAUGAGAAGUAUAUUGGUUAUAUGACACGCUCUCUUAAAAGGAGGAUCCAAGAACACAAAAAAAGACCUGAAGAGUAACACUGCUAUUACAGUUCUAGCACAGCGGGUGCUUGUAUCCAACUUAAGAAGUUGAUUGGUCCAGUAGUAAACUCUUGCGGCAGGAGCACAAUCUGAAGAGAGAAGAAUUGCUGAAAUGGUGGU